UACGAGGGGGGCAAAUGUUGUUCGGAAUCACUGGGCGUAAAGGGCGCGUAGGCGGCCGUUUAAGUUAGGUGUGAAAGUCCUGGGCUCAACCUGGGGACUGCACUUAAUACUGGAUGGCUUGAAUUCGGGAGAGGAUAGCGGAAUUCCCAGUGUAGAGGUGAAAUUCGUAGAUAUUGGGAAGAACACCGGUGGCGAAGGCGGCUAUCUGGACCGACAUUGACGCUGAGGCACGAAAGCGUGGGGAUCGAACAGG
rnacentral:rRNA from 1 species